ACUUCCUCUCUUUCUUGCCGCCACCUUUACUAUGCCCAUCACCUCUCCUCUCCUUCCUUUCUCUAGCCCACGCCCUCUCUCUCUUGGCAUCUCUUUGUUGGAGCUUUUAGAGAGGUGGGCGGCAAUAUUUUUUUGGUGUCAAUUGGUUGGUGCCAAGUUGUUGUUUAGUUUCAUCUUCUUCCUCUCAAGUUGUUGGAAGUUAGCUUCAACCACUUCUUGAUUAUUCUUCUUCUUGAUUAGUUAAGAGAUCAAGAAAGGUUCUUGAUUUCUUCAAGAAUCAAGAAAGAAAGAUUAAAAGGGUUCACAAUUUCAAGCCUAUCCAGGCUUGGUUCAAGCCUAUUCAGACUUUUGGUUCAAGCAAGCA
rnacentral:lncRNA from 1 species